UCGACGUGGAUGCAGCGAGGGUGCAGCCUCGGGCACUCCGGCUGCGCGCACAGCGGCCCCUCCUCGGUGCACAGGCACGGGCAGGCCGAGGGGCCCGGCGCGAACUUCUCUCCGAUCGCGUACACGAAGCCGCUCUCGUCCACGCAGCCCUUGCCGCGAUAGUCCGGGUACACGUACUCCUCUGGUGGCUCGGGCGUGGGUGCGAGUUCCGGGCCAAUCGCGUCCUGGGCGGCUGCAGCCAGUGCUUCCCCCUGCGGGGUGUCCCCGCGGGGCCGGACCUGCAGAUCCCCGGCCUUGGCGCCCCCGCCCUGGGAGACCCAGGCCUGCUUCAGCUUGCUCCACGGCUCACGGCCGGCGAGCCCACGGCCGCUCUUGCUCUUCCAGUCUCGGCCGCUGCCGCCCUCGUCCCUCGCCGGGCGCCCGAGCUCGUUCACCCGCCCCGGGCCGUCCCGAGAGGCGUGCUCACGCUUCUCCUGGCCCGGCUGCUCUGGUGCCUGGGCCAGCUUCUCCAGCGGGAUGCUCGGACUGCACAGAGCCACCAUCAGGCAGCAGUACUCUCAUGUGGUUACAAUGGAGUAGUCCCAAACGUGUGACUAAUAAGAAGAAACAGUAACGGUGUAUGUGUCCAGGAUUCUAACUGAAAAAUUGAUUGGGGGCUCAGAUGAGAGAACACAUCAACACAUGCAUGGCUGAGAAAGGAUCCCUUGAUGCAUAUUAUCCCAUACCCUGAGGAAGAAGAGUCAAGGAGCAGAUUUGCCUGGGAGGAAAACACAAGAGAUCAUGCCUUGGGAGGAGAGGCACCACAGGGCAUCCAGUCGCAAGUGAAAUAGAAGAGAGUUCGCUCAGCUUUUGACUUGUAAGCGUGUUGAGAAGACUUCUUCCCUCCUUAUGUGCUGGAUCAGAAACCAGAAGUUCACCAGUAUCCUUUGAGUAAAAUGUUUCAAAUAGUUUCAAAGCCACCUUCUAUACUUGCAUUCAAAUCAUGUUUCUGCCAUGUGCCUCAAAGAUAUUGUUGCUGUUAAUUCAGCAUAGAUUUAUUUUUAUGCUAAUACCUAUUUUGUUGGAGAUUGUGCACUGAAAGAGAGAUAUUGAUAUGUAUUUGACAACAGAUAUGUUCGCCACCCAAUAUCCGUUCUCUUUCUUCUGAUGACACACACUGACCUGUUUUCCUCUAGAGAACCAACUCCUGCCCCAGUCUCAACACACCUGAUUCUCAGUUGGAGCUGCUGGCUGCAGCAGCAGACCCUGCCUGGCCAGCAUUGUCAUCCUUUGGUCAUGUUGGAUGUUCAAGGAUGCUCCUGUGAUCAAUCCCAUUGAGCCUGCAAGGGCUGGGUUCAUCUUGAACCGUAUGAAAAUAAAAUAUGUCUUUUCUUUUUCCUACUAGACUUGAAUCUUGUAAAAAUUAAGGCUUCACCUGCUAGGGUCACCACAAGUUGUAGGUAGGUUCUACCUGAAAUGGUGACAGUACAGAAGAAAACUGAAGCACGAAAAGAAGACAAAUCAGCUCCUGAUAAUGUGAUGUGAAGUGCGAGGUCUUUCCAGGGUCAAAGAAGUUUCUAACUGGUUCUCUUUGUAAUCACCAGAGCAAAUUCACAUCUUCCCCCACACCCCGCCCCCCAAGCUUAUUUGAAUUGAAGUCUUCUGUCACUUGGAAUUUCAGAAGCCCUGACAAAUAAAAUGGUUAGUUAAUCGAAUCAGCUAUAUCACAAUUCAAAUGGUGGCCUGACAACAUAUCUGCAGAUAUCAAAAUCCUACCAUAAUAAUUAGACUAUAAAUGGUUUUUAGUCCUAUUUUCAGUAUUCUCAAAAGUGCUCUCUUAGAAAUUAAGCCACCGCUUAUUCUGCACAAGAAUUCCUUUCAUGCCAUCCCAGCAAAUCUGCCUGUAUGCGCUCAGAUGCAGAACUGGUUCUGAAUUGUGCAAAGAGCCGACGUUGCCAGCUCUGCUCCAUUUUUUUCUGGCAGCCCCAGCAUCCACUCAAGAUUUCUGGAUCUUUUCCAAUUAUAACACCAUUUGGAAAUACUCAGCAUUUUCCAGCCUUGAAUAAUGUAUUGAUCUCUUUAAAGUAGAAAAUAUUCUCACAGACCCCCAAUGUUGACUUAAAUUCUUUUUAUUGUAAUUUUAGUUAAAUAUAUACGCAAACAUAAAACACUACAAACUGUUAGGCUUAUAGCUUUUAGACAACUAUAAAAAUAAACUUACAGAUCAGAUAUAAACUACAAAACCAAUGAAAUGGAAAUGAGCUACAUUAGCUUACCAGGGCAGAGCAGAGAGUAUUCCUGAAGCCCCAUGGCUGCUCAGCUUGGGAGGCCAAUGUUUCUAAUUACUCUGAGUUCUGAGCUCAGCAUUAUCAGAGGGUUCCUGCCUGGCAAGGCCAGGAUUCUCCAAAAUUUUUCUGUAUUUAGAUUAUUUCAAUGCUUCAUUAGGAUGGUUUCCCAUAAAGUCACUGGCCUCUACUUAACAUAACUAUAGC